rnacentral:rRNA from 1 species
GCUAAUACCGGAUAACAACAGAUGAUGCCUAUCAACUGUUUAAAAGAUGGUUCUGCUAUCACUCUUGGAUGGACCUGCGGUGCAUUAGCUAGUUGGUAGGGUAACGGCCUACCAAGGCGAUGAUGCAUAGCCGAGUUGAGAGACUGAUCGGCCACAUUGGGACUGAGACACGGCCCAAACUCCUACGGGAGGCAGCAGUA